rnacentral:rRNA from 1 species
UACAGGGGGGGCAAGCGUUGUCCGGAAUUACUGGGCGUACAGCGCGCGCAGGCGGUCCACUACGUGCCGUGUGACAGCCGUCGGCUUAACCGACGGAGGCCAGGGUACACGGGUGAACUUGAGGCAGAGAGAGGGAUGUGGAAUACCCGGUGGAGCGGUGAAAUGCGUAGAGAUCGGGUGGAACACCAGGGGCGAAGGCGGCAUCCUGGCUCUGUACUGACGCUGAGGCGCGAGAGCGUGGGGAGCAAACCGG